rnacentral:rRNA from 1 species
CCUAAGACAUGCAAGUCGUACGAGGUGGCCCUUUGAACUCUGUACUUGUAUAGAGCGAUUUGGAUUUCCACCUAGUGGCGAAAGGGUGAGUAACACGUGGGUUAUCUACCUCAGAGACUGGGAUAACUACUGGAAACGGUAGCUAAUACCGGAUGAUAUAUAUAAUGAUUCGUUAUUAUAUAGUAAAAGGAGCCUUUAAAGCUUUACUUUGAGAUGAGCCUGCGCUGUAUUAGCUAGUUGGUAGGGUAAUGGCCUACCAAGGCAACGAUGCAUAGCCGACCUGAGAGGGUGAUCGGCCACACUGGGACUGAGACACGGCCCAGACUCCUACGGGAGACAGCAGUUAGGGAUAUUCGUCAAUGGAGGAAACUCUGAACGAGCAAUGCCGCGUGAGUGAUGACAAGUUCUUUGGAUUGUAAAACUCUGUUGUUAGGGAAGAACGACCUAUAUAGGAAAUGAUAUAGGAGUGACUGUACCUUUCAAGAAAGCUCCGGCUAACUACGUGCCAGCAGCAGC